rnacentral:tRNA from 41 species
GUCGGGAUAGCUCAGUUGGUAGAGCAGAGGACUGAAAA